UGUUUGUACAAAAAAAUCGGUGCCAUUUUUUAUGGCCUAACAGGGAAAACGGUGCAAGUCCGUUGCGGUCCGGCCGCUGUAAUCGGGGACGAAAUCCGUAGCAUGUCACUGAUCGAUUUGAUCGGGAAGACGCGGAGAGUAGGCUGAUCCGAAAGCCAGAAGACCUGCCGAUUUUUUGAUCAGCGU
rnacentral:ncRNA from 2 species